CUUCAUGCAACUCAGUCCCACAUUGGUUGGGAAUGAGGCAAAAGCUUGGAAAGUAGGCUUGGGACUAGACGUGAAGCUGCCAUCUUGCAUACAUAAAAGCCAUCAUGAGGAAGGAUGUCAGUGGCUCACAAUGAAAGGACGAAGGGACCAGAGCAGCUCAAGGCGCUGGGGAUAUUCUGCUGCUGCUGCUGCGCCAGCCUGGGAUGGCCCAUCUCUGCACACCCGGCAUGUGAGGAAAGUUCAUUCACGUUCGGUUAAGCCACCAUAGCAG
rnacentral:lncRNA from 10 species